AUUAGUAGAGAAGCGUGUGAGCCAGCUGCCAAGAAAAGCCGCUAUUGUUUCAUAAGUACCCGUACCGUAAACCGACACAGGUGGAUGAGGAGAGAAUCCUAAGGCCGGCGGGAGAAGUGUUGUUAAGGAACUCGGCAAAAUGACUCCGUAACUUCGGGAGAAGGAGUGCCACAGAGAUGUGGCCGCAGAGAAACGGCCCAAGCAACUGUUUAGCAAAAACACAGGUCUAUGCAAAACCGAAAGGUGAGGUAUAUGGGCUGACGCCUGCCCGGUGCUGGAAGGUUAAGAGGAGAGGUUAGAGCAAUCGAAGCUUAGAAUUUAAGCCCCAGUAAACGGCGGCCGUAACUAUACCGGUCCUAAGGUAGCGAAAUUCCUUGGCGGGUAAGUUCCGACCCGCACGAAAGGCGUAAUGAUUUGGGCACUGUCUCAACAACACACCCGGUGAAAUUGAAAUACCAGUGAAGAUGCUGGUUACCUGCGCCAGGACGGAAAGACCCCAUGGAGCUUUACUCCAGUUUGAUACUGGGAUUCGGUACUGUCUGUACAGGAUAGGUGGGAGGCUAGGAAAUGGUGACGCCAGUUGCCAUGGAGCCAACCUUGGGAUACCACCCUUACAGUACUGGGUUUCUAACCUGCAGCCGUAACCCGGCUGGGGGACAAUGUCUGACGGGGAGUUUGACUGGGGCGGUCGCCUCCGAAAGAGUAUCGGAGGCGCUCAAAGGUUCCCUCAGAACGGUUGGAAACCGUUCGAAGAGUGCAAAGGCAGAAGGGAGCUUGACUGCGACACCGACGGGUGGAGCAGAUACGAAAGUAGGACUUAGUGAUCCGGUGGUAUAAAGUGGGAUUGCCAUCGCUCAACGGAUAAAAGCUACCCUGGGAUAACAGGCUUAUCACUCCCAAGAGUUCACAUCGACGGAGUGGUUUGGCACCUCGAUGUCGGCUCAUCGCAUCCUGGAGCUGUAGCAGGUUCCAAGGGUUGUGCUGUUCGCCCAUUAAAGCGGUACGCGAGCUGGGUUCAGAACGUCGUGAGACAGUUCGGUCCCUAUCCGGCGUGGGCGUAGGAUAUUUGAGAGGAGCUGUCCUUAGUACGAGAGGACCGGGACGGACAAACCUCUGGUGUAUCUGUUGUUUUACCAAAGGCAUGGCAGAGUAGCCAAGUUUGGCAGGGAUAAACGCUGAAGGCAUCUAAGCGUGAAGCCCCCCUCAAGAUAAGAUAUCCCAUCUUCGGAGUAAGACCCCUUGAAGACUACAAGGUUGAUAGGCUUCAGGUGUAAGUGUGGUAACGCACUCAGCUGAGAAGUACUAAUAGGUCGAGGACUUAUUAAA
rnacentral:rRNA from 1 species